UUCCCGGCUUCUUCUAUCUCGUUGCAACACUUCUUCAAUCUCAGAUUUUAAACACAAGUCAUGCUUGAUUUUGGAUUAUGGAUAUGAAUCUCGAUUCUCCAUUAUUGGAUCUAGAUUCAAUUCUUAGGUCUGAUUGCUUUGUCCGAUUGAAACUAGGGGAAGUUCAUAUAAAGUCAUGAAAGUUUCAGACUUUCAGUAUAUUGGAUGAUUUGUGAUUUGGGUCUCUCAACUUCC